rnacentral:lncRNA from 1 species
AUUAUUUUUUAUUUUAUACAAAAAAAUUAAAUUUUAUUGAAUUUUGAUCUUAAUUAUUAACCAGUAUAGUAAUCCGUACGAUACGACGAAUAGAUAAUUAGAAAACAAAUAGAAAACAAUAAUAAAAAAAGAGGAAAUAGCGAUAGAAUAAGCGACGAUAAGAGAUGAAAUUUAUCUUGCCGAUAAAGAUAGGUAACAGUCGUAAGAAGUAGAAGAACAUUUAAGCCCAAUUAAUGCAAAAGUGUGAUCUAGUUCGGUUCAAAUAAAAAAAAAAAAUCCAACUUGGUUCAAGUAAAGAAAGACAUAUGAAGGACUUAAGCCGGUUCGGGAAAGCCCACAUUCAACAAUGAUUGAUUCGAUUCAAGCAAAGAUUAAAAAACAAAUGAAGAACUUAAGUUGAUUAGAGUGGAGCCUGCACCCAAUAAAGGAAAUAUUGUCAUUGACAAAUUCAGGAAGAAUAAUUUAUAGAUAUAGAAGAUAGUUAGAAAAAACAAUUCUAUAUAUGUGUGUAUAUGUAUAUUUGGUAAUAAUGCCUGUUAGAAGGGAUGUUUGCCAGUUAAGAUAUAUUAUUAUAGAUAUAGAGUUGAGCUAGAAUUCUAUGCUGAUGCUAAAUUUUUUAUUACUAUAUAAACAGAUUCGGAUUUAUAUACGAGUCAUAUUUGUAUUCGAAUAAUAAUAUAUCUUAAUAUGUAAAUAUAAAUAUGAAUUAACAUUAGCGCAAAUAAGAUACACAAUGCAAUUUAAGGUUCACACUCGUGUAUAAAUUUUGUAUGCCUAUAUUCUAUUCAAUAAAAUUUUAUAUUUUAACAAAUACAAACAUAAUUUUAAAAUAAAACUUAUAGUAAAAUAAAUGAAGAACACAAUAAAAAAUUACUAAAUUAUUCCCUUACAAUAUAUAUUAAUAGUGUAGAGUUACUAUAAUAUCGGAAGUAUAGAUAAUUUAAUAGUGUAGAGCUACAAUAUAUAUUAAUAAUACCCCUAGGGUUGAGUGGUUCCCAUAGGAUAAUAAUAUUAAUCCAAAAGUUAAAAAUGAUUAAAAAUGAUCUAAGGGCUAAAAAGUUGGAAGUGUUAGAUUUUUUAUACUUUCAAUAGCAUAGUAGCUUUACUCAUAUUAAUUUCUUUUUUAUAAUUUCGGAGUGAAAACAUGUCAAAUACGGUCAGAGCUUUGA